rnacentral:tRNA from 2 species
GCAGUGGUGGCCGAGUGGUUAAGGCGAUGGAGUAGAAAUCCAUUCGGGGCUACCCGUACAGGGUCGAAUCCUGCGACUGCA